AUCCAGAAAAUAUUUGUCACCUUGUGCUCCCAGAAUCACAUCAAAACCAUGAUAUUAAAAGAAGACUUCAGCAGAGACCAGGUAACUUGGAGAAGUCUCUCCUGGAUACCUGCUCAGGCCAGUGAAGCCUAUGAUGGCUGAAUUCUUCUUGUUGUGAACCUGAAGACCUCCUAAAAUUUGAAAAGUGUAUCAAAACCAAUAAAUACCAUACCACUGGAGAAACUAAUUUCACCACUCUAUCUGUUCAAUUCUGGCUCCUGUGGAAAUCAGAGGGAUACUUCAGUUGGAGG